UGCGCCGCUAGCUCAGUUGGUCAGAGCAGCUGACUCUUAAUCAGCGGGUCCGGGGUUCGAGUCCCUGGCGGCGCACCCA
rnacentral:tRNA from 1 species